UAUAUGCUACAACCGCACAAGACAGGUUCCCUAAAGACAUUUUAUGUCUACCUCGUUUUUGGCGAGUCUUAGUAAUUAA
rnacentral:sRNA from 2 species